GAUGAACGCUGGCGGCGUGCCUAAUACAUGCAAGUCGAACGCUUCACUUCGGUGAAGAGUGGCGAACGGGUGAGUAAUACAUAAGUAACCUGGCAUCUACAGGGGGAUAACUGAUGGAAACGUCAGCUAAGACCGCAUAGGUGUAGAGAUCGCAUGAACUCUAUAUGAAAAGUGCUACGGGACUGGUAGAUGAUGGACUUAUGGCGCAUUAGCUUGUUGGUAGGGUAACGGCCUACCAAGGCGACGAUGCGUAGCCGACCUGAGAGGGUGACCGGCCACACUGGGACUGAGACACGGCCCAGACUCCUACGGGAGGCAGCAGUAGGGAAUUUUCGGCAAAGGGGGAAACCCUGACCGAGCAACGCCGCGUGAAGGAAGAAGUAAUUCGUUAUGUAAACUUCUGUCAUAGAGGAAGAACGGUGGAUAUAGGGAAUGAUAUCCAAGUGACGGUACUCUAUAAGAAAGCCACGGCUAACUACGUG
rnacentral:rRNA from 1 species